AUACGUAGGUGGCAAGCGUUGUCCGGAUUUACUGGGUGUAAAGGGCGUGUAGCCGGGUUGAUAAGUCAGAUGUGAAAUCUGGAGGCUUAACCUCCAAACUGCAUUUGAAACUGUUGAUCUUGAGUAUCGGAGAGGUAAUCGGAAUUCCUUGUGUAGCGGUGAAAUGCGUAGAUAUAAGGAAGAACACCAGUGGCGAAGGCGGAUUACUGGACGACAACUGACGGUGAGGCGCGAAAGCGUGGGGAGC
rnacentral:rRNA from 1 species